rnacentral:lncRNA from 1 species
CAAACACGCCAUUUGUCCAAUGUAAAGUCGGACCGAAAAGGAUAUUAAUUUCAACGUUUAUAUUUCAAAAUAAAUGGACUGACAGUAUUUAUCAUCAUACAUAGUUCAGAGUCUGAAGAAGAAGACGCUGAUCAUAACCACCAUUUCAAGAGAAAGAAAACGUGUGAUGAGUCGUAUGUAGACAGUGAGGGAACUACACUGCCACCAAGUGACAACGAGACUCUGCCGCCUCCUCUUAAGUUGUAUGUAGAUUUUGACAGUGAUGUGACUACAUUGCCACCAAGUGACAACGAGACUCUGCCACCUUCUGAUAAGUCUGUGCAAUGGAACUAAUGGAAGAAACUGCUAGGCCUAAACGUAGCAAAACUGUGCAUGACUUUUCGGAGUUCUUCAAAGUGUUACACGCAGUUACACCUGUUACCGGUACCGUGCUGACUGAAAAGUGUUACAUGCAGUUACACCAGUGACCUGUUACCGAUACAUGCUGAUUGCAAGGUGUUACACGCAAUUACACCUGUAACCGAUACAUACUGAUUGCCAAGUCUUACACCUGUAACCGAUAAUGCCAAUUGCAGUGUUACAUGCUGUUACACCAGUUAUCGGUACCAUGCUAAUUGCAAAGUGUUACACGCAGUUACACCUGUUACUGGAUACAUGCCAAUUUCUAAGUGUUACACACAGUUAUGUCUGUUACCGGAUACAUGCCGAUAGCAAAGUGUUACAUCUGUUAUCACUACAUGCAGAUUUUAAAGAGUUACACGCAGUUACACCUGUUACAAACAGCAAAUGAAGGCGAGUGUCUGCUGAGGUUCGCCAUGAUGGUAUUGAUCAUUUGCCAGAGUUUGGAGAAAAGCGCAAACGAUGCAGAUUUUCAGGGUGUGAUGGGAUUACGUAUGUUAAGUGUCCCAAAUGUGAUGUAAAUUUAUGCUUUGUGCGUCAGAAAAACUGCUUCCGGGACUAUCACACAUAGACACAUAUGGACAGAUGGGACAGUGAAUGAUCAAUUUACACUAAAAGAGAACUUACUGUAAAGUGUUACUGUUGUAGAAUUUAAACUAUCAUGUACCAAAACUGUGUGCAUGUGCAUGAAACAAAAUACUGUUAAUUCAGUUGAAAAUAUCAAGUUCUGAAAUUAAAUACGUGUAGAUUUUGAAAGGACAUCAGUACGUAUGUACAUAAAUAGGUCAAAACUGACUGCCAUUGUAUUUUAAUUGGAAUUAUAUCUAUUUAAUAUUUCAUUGUUUAUCAUUAAAUAUGUUACACCUGUUAAAAGUA